ensembl:lncRNA
AAAAUAAUAAACAGACGACAUAUUUAACAAUAAUAAUAACACAAUCAUUGAGAAAACAUCUGAAGCAGUUCCUGAGAAGAGAGAAAAGAAGAAAAGUUAUUAACAUGUUAAUGUUGUUAGUGUGUCUGUGUGUACAUCUAAUUGUUAGUGUGUAUGUGUGUACAUCGAAUUGUUAGUGUGUCUGUGUGAACAUCGAAUUGUCAGUGUGUCUGUGUGUAGAUCUAAAUAUUAAUAUGUCUUUGUGUACAUCUAAAUAUUAGUGUGUGUCUUUGUUUAGAACCAGAUGUUAGUGUGUCUGUGUGUACAUCUAAAUAUUAAUGUGUCUUUGUGUACAUCUAAAUGUUAGUGUGUCUGUGUGUACAUCUAAAUAUUGUUGUGUCUGUGUGUACAUCUAAAUAUUAAUGUGUCUUUGUGUACAUCUAAAUGUUAGUGUGUCUGUGUGUACAUCUACAUAUUAAUGUGUAUUUGUGUACAUCUAAAUGUUAGUAAGUGUCUUUGUUUAGAACCAAAUGUUAGUGUGUAUGUGUGUACAUCUAAUUGUUAGUGUGUCUGUGUGAAUAUCGAAUUGUUAGUGUGUCUGUGUGUACAACUAAUUGUUAGUGUGUCUGUGUGUACAUCAAAAUAUUAAUGUGUCUUUGUGUACAUCUAAAUGUUAGUGUGUGUCUUUUUUAGAACCAAAUGUUAGUGUGUCUCUGAGUACAUCUGUGUGUAUCUGUGUGUGUGUGAGUGUGGGUGUGUGUGUGUGUCAUGCGUAGAUCUGGAUUUGCUCCUGAGGGGUUGACAUGACGUCCUGAUGGCGUCCUGAUGGCGUCCUGAUGGCGUCCCGUUGACGUGGCGUCCUGAUGGCGUCCUGUUGGUCUGCAGACAAGGAGAAGAGACGUGAGGAGGAUCAUCAGGAUGUGUCUGUGUGUACAUCUAAUUGUUAGUGGAUCUGUGUGUACAUCUAAAUAUUAAUGUGUCUUUGUGCAGAACCAGAUGUUUGUGUGUUUUUGUGUACUUCUGAAUACUAAUGUGUCUGUGUGUACAUCUAAAUGUUAGUGUGUCUGUGUGUACAUCUAAUUGUUAUUGUGUCUUUGUGUACAUCUAAAUAUUAGUGUGUGUCUUUGUUUAGAACCAAAUGUUAAUGUGUCUGUGUGUACAUCUAAAUGUUAAUGUGUCUGUGUGUACAUCCUAAUGUUAGAGCGUGUCUGUGUUUAGAACCAAAUGUUAGUGUGUAUGUGUGCACAUCU